rnacentral:rRNA from 1 species
UACGAAGGGGGCUAGUGUUGCUCGGAAUCACUGGGCGUAAAGCGCACGUAGGCGGAUUGCUAAGUCAGUGGGGAAAUCCUGGAGCUCAACUCCAGAACUGCCUUUGAUACUGGCGACCUUGAGUCCGGGAGAGGUGAGUGGAACUGCGAGUGUAGAGGUGAAAUUCGUAGAUAUUCGCAAGAACACCAGUGGCGAAGGCGGCUCACUGGCCCGGUACUGACGCUGAGGUGCGAAAGCGUGGGGAGCAAACAGG